AAAGCGAAUAGUGAAAGAUGAUGGCUCAACCAUCAGAACAUUGUUCGAACUCACUAACUCGAGAAUGGUAGAGGUAGCUGGAAUUUCUAGUGUAGGAGUGAAAUCCGUAGAUAUUAGAAGGAACACCAAUGGCGUAGGCAGGCUACUGGACCAUUUCUGACGCUGAGGCACGAAAGCGUGGGGAGCGAACCGGAUUAGAUACCCGGGUAGUCCACGCCGUAAACGAUGGAUGCUA
rnacentral:rRNA from 1 species